GAAGUAGGGGCUGGAUAGGAGUCCGCAGGCGCAGGGCCCGCCAGUGAUUGGCCCAGCUGCCAAGGGAGGGUUGUGCAGAUCCCGUUUCGCUAGCGGGUGGGAAGCCACAGCCCCGCUCAGUCCCUCAGGCAGCUGUCCCUACCUUCUCUGCGACUUAGGAGGGGAGCCAGCGCGCCAAGCCCAGGAGGAUGCAGUGCCUGCUGUGGCCUGGGGGCUCCCGGGGGCUCUGGCUGCUCCUCUGUUUCCUGCUUCUGAACAGCCGCCCAGGGGGCUGCAGCGACAUUGGUGGCCACGAUGGUCAGAGCCAAGUGGGAGUGGGGCAGCUCUGGUCCCUCCAAGGAUUUACUACCCCAGUCUUCCAACACUUGCAAGUUUUCUUCCAGCAGAUUGUGCCUCAAGGUUUGUUCUGGAAGGAUGACAUGACCCAGAAUGUGAUGAUCCAGAAGAUGGGACACAUUAGCAAACUCCAUCCCCAGGAUCCAUGUAUGAGGGUUGGGCAGGCAGCCUUUCCCACCAAAACCACUGGGAUGAGGUAUGUGAGGCCUAUGGUCAGUCCAUGCUGUCUGGCUGACAGACAGAGCAAGGAGGGAGCUGGCAUCAAUGCAGGGGCAAGCAAGAGGAGAAACUUCGACUCUUAUUCCCCAAGAGCCCAAUGGCCAAGGUGAACAAAGAUCAGUGCUUUACCUCCAGAGUGGUUUCAAAGGCCUUGAAACAAGAGGUGGCCAACCCUGUCAAGGGCUUCUUUGAGUCACCCUCUGCUGUAGGCCACAACCUUGUCGCUGACUGAGACCUCGUGCAAGGCUCUUUGCCCCAGUGCCCUCCCCAUUGCCCUCCAGGGAAGUAGUUCCAGGAUGAAUCUCCAACAUUAAAGUGACUUUCAUGCAAACUCUCUGUGACUUGCCCUGAGGCAGGAUGGGCGGGGUUUGGACCUGGCUAGAGUCCUCUAAGUGAGAGAGGCAGGACCUGAACAGGGGGUGGGGUGAGAAGAACAAAGCGCCUUGGUGCUGCUCAAAGGCUGCUUUCUGUCCUGUUUUCCCUCCUGAAGUAGGGAAAGUGAGGAUGGGACCACACCUAGCCUUCUCUGCCCACAUCUGGUGAUGCUCUAUGAUCCAGUUGCCCACCCAUCCUUCCAUGUCAGACUUGCUUGGAUGGUGCUGUUCUAUGAGGGUCUCCACCUCCAGCAUUACAGCCCCUGCCAAGGCUCUCCCAUUCUUUGUGCUUCCAAGAAUCAACGUAAAAGUGCUGUGAUCAAAGUGUACACACAUUAAAUGUUUUGCUGACUCUUG